rnacentral:lncRNA from 1 species
AGACUGAGGCAAUCGUUGCCGAAGUCAGUGUUGUAAUGGUGAAUCGAGAUUUUUUAAUGAAGUGGGUUUGAUUACUCUUGACUAUUUUGUGAAAUCGAGUUAUGUCUAUGAUUGAAGAAUUAAAAGGGUGUCUAUAGGAUUGAGUAUGCGAAGUGAAUGAAAUUUAUUGGGUUAAUCUAACAAGACAGCCAGUGGAUACAAGAUCGUAAGUACAAAGCGGUAUCGGAGAUUAGCAGAUUGGGUUGUUCGGGGUUCUCUAUAACGUCUAGAGACCUAC